CUCACUACAAUAAUCCUCGAAUAAAAACAAAUAUAGAAUGGAAAAAGGAAGGAAAAGAUGACUACUGCUAUCCGAUCACUGCCAACCAUUAACAUCAUGUGUAGUUUAUAUAUUCAUAUAGAAGCAGGCAAGCACUCUGCAGGGAAUCAUAUUCGCAAUGGUGGUCAGUGGCCACGACAUGAUCCCACAAGGUCGAUAAUUAUGAUGAGUUAGAAAGCAAAUGAACUUUGGGUGGCUGCUGGUGGAUAUCGCCAUUAAUGGAGGAACAUGAUUCCUUCACCUCAAAAACUAGAAACCCUAAUGACUAGGUUAUGUCAUUUCUCCUUCUUUCUUAGACUGUAUGAGAUCCCCCCUUUCAUGUUUCUCCAAAUAAUUGCCACAGCAUGGCCA
rnacentral:lncRNA from 1 species